CGUGGUGGCCAGGCUGAUCUCGAACUCCUGACCCUAGGUGAUCUGCCCACCUCUGCCUCCCACAGCACUGGGAUUACAGCACUGGGCUAAAAUGUCUACAAGUUCAGAUGGCUCCCUGGCUCCUCCUUCAGCCACCAUCCUCCCAAGGGAGAGUCAGUGCUGACAUGAGUCCCCUAAAAUUCGUUCAUCUUUCUGCUGCAAUGGAUAACCAAAGCAAGCUGAGUUCCUGACGGCUGCAUGGAAGUUAGCCAUCCAAGAGAAGAGAGGGCAUUCUAGAUAUGGAGGGCAGGCCACUGCUGCUGUCAUUAGAAAGACUCAUUUCAGCCCAGGCAAGGGGAGGAGAGCAAACCCAGAGAUGGUAACCUGCUCCCCUGAACCAGAGGAAGCAGAGACCUUCUCACAAGGACCAGGCGAGGGAUGGUCGAGAAGAUUCUAAUCCAGAUUCAGAAGAGGAGCUGACUGGCCUCUGGCAAGCCCAAGCUGGAUUACCAGCUGCGGAGGCAGAGGUGCCUGAGGUUUCCCAGCCCCCAGGCCAGAGGAGGCUGCUACACCCACUUCCCCCACGAAGCUGGGGCCCAGGCCAGAGAGAGAGCCCCAAAGCUGGUUUGGGGGCGGGGAGCUUCCCUACAGGCCCUGGAGCCCCAUAGGCCCCAAGACAAAGCAAGAGGAAUGAGAGGAAGCACAGCCGGGUCAAAGCUCCGAGCCACGAGUACUGAGGCAGGUGGUGGUACCCAGACCCCCUCUCCAUAGCUCCCAUGAGAGCACAAGGCGGAGGAGAGGACAGACUCCUGGCCUGAGGGGCCAAGCACCAGCUUCUCAGCCAGCUCUGCCACUGACUUGCUGCUUGGCAAGUCACUUAACUGUUCCAAGCCUCAGUUUUCACUUCUGGAAAUGGGGAUAUGACCCCCUGCCUGCCCCCUCAUGCUGGCAUAAGAAUCAAUGACCUGUGACAGGACUUUGUAAAUUAUAAGUUGGUAUUAGUUAGGCCUCUUUAGUCACAAAUGUGAGAAACUGACAUUAAAUGAGGCAAUGCAAAAGGGGGAUUCACCAGCUCAGAGGCCCAAGACCCAGGGCAGGGAGAGGAGGCGCUGUCAUUCCCUCUCACCCCUGCAUCUCUCUGCAAGUCAGUCUCUUCUUCCGCAAGCCUGGAGCCAACUUCACCUCCUAAGAGGAGCUUCUCUGCUCUGUCACUACCAACUUGAACAACCACAGGGAGGGCCCUGAAUUGUGUCACAUGUCCACCCAUGGCUGUGAGACACUAUCUUAUGCAGCUUCUUCUGGAAGCUUCUUAUUUUGAUUGUUGGCAUCAGCAUUAUAAGUUUGCCACAUUUUCCUGAUUCCUAUCCUCCUUGGACAAAAUAACAUAGGGGCUAAGGGCACAGGCUCUGGAACCCAGAUUACCUGGAUUCAAGUUCUGGUUCUGCCAUUUUCUCACUGUGUAACGUUGGGCAAGUCGCUUAACUUCUCUGCACCUCAGUUCAUAAAUCUGUGAAAACUAAAUGAGUUGAUACAUGGGAAGUAUGAACAAUUGUGCCUGGUGCCGGCCAGGGGUUCAACAAAUGUUAAUCAUUAUUAUUGUCGGAGAAUGAAGGGGCAGUGCCUGGGAAUCCCAGGAUGAGAGACAGCCUGAAGAAAAACCAUCCUGCUCCACCUACUCCUCAACCUUCUUCCGGGGAGAGCUGACAACUGCAGGAGCUAUGGCUCAACAAAGAUGUACAGAGCUAUGCAGUAAGCCCUGAGAAUUACAAAACUUGACAGACAAAGUCGCUUUUUCUCCAGAAGCUCAUUGCCAAGUAAGGGAGAUAGAAGCAUGAAGAGAUCAUUUCUAUCCUGUGCUGGAUAGAAGCGUGUGUAUGUCUCUGUGGGAAGCCACAGUGGGACAACUGGUCCAGAGAGAGCUGCCUGGAAGAAAUGACACCUGAGCUAAGGCCUGGAGCAGGGGCAAGAGCUUGCCAAGCAAGGAAAGGAGGGCAGGGCGUUGUGCUGUCCAUUGGCUAUUCAGUCUCGGCUCCAGAUCUCCACUUGUCAGGUUGGCGCUACUGGGGCUUGAUCUGUGCAAAUUACAUGUCCCCAGGUCAGCUGGUUCUGGCAGGUUCUUCCAAUAGGGGGCACUAGGAGACUGAGGUCAGGAGGAGAGAAGGCACUUGCUCUUUUGUGCUUGCUUGCUUCUCCCCAGCAAGCUUUUUGCCGCAGAAGCAUCCACUGAAGCCUCCAGCUUUCUUCAGCCUCAGCAGCUGGAAGCCAUGUGAAGCAGCUGACAAACAGCUGGAGGCUGAGAUGCCUGCUGUGGGGGGAGCAACAGUUUAAACCAGUGAGCAUGUAGCAUCGGAAAGCUUCCCGAUGGAUGAUAGUUUUUCUUUUAACAGAUUUGGUGUCAGAAGUGAGAAUACAGAGUAAAACUUCAGCAACCCCCAGGAACACCAGGGAACCAGACCAGAUACCUGCGAAGCCAGCUGUGCCCACUGAUUUCUUGUUUGUAACUGGAGGUCGUGGCUGAAUUUUCUCUCAGAUUCCAAGAUCCAAGAAUUUGUGUUCUCAGCUCUCCAAGUUUGUUUGAGCAAUCUUUGGACUGGGCUGGGUUUGGGAUUGGAUUGGAUUCAAUAAUCAACCGGAUUAGAUUCAGUUAGAGGCUGAGGGCCUCAGGUGGGUACCUUUUUGGUAAUGAGUUCAUCUCAAUUCAAAGAGCCUGGGACUCCACAUUCUGGGACUCCAGCUACUUUUAUGUAUAAAAUUAUGGGCCCAGAACAUGUGCAUUUUCAGAAAAAAUGGGUUAACCUCACUGAGACAACUUAGAAAAGAUAAUGGGGAAGUUUUAAUUUGGUUAAAAUUAUUUAUUUGCAAGUCAUAUGAGAAAAAAGGAAUCAGAAUCCCACAUAAAAACAAUAGUAUGUAUCCUUUAAUUAGUAUAGGAAGAUCUAAAAGACUGAACAAAUCAAAAAUUGCAUCCGUAAAAGAUUCUUUGCAAAAAGCAAGUGAAAAUCUUAAACAACAGACUAAGGACAUCAUAAAAGAGGACUAAGGCCGAG
rnacentral:lncRNA from 10 species